CUUUCUGCGAACGGCGGCGCGACGGAUUUGGGCAGUAUACAUUUUCAAAUUUCUAACUGCGACAACAUUGAAAGUCCUCCAAGCGUAAGUCCCGAUUUUCCACAACCAUCGCAUUGUACUGUGAUGAAUAUAAAUCUGUGUUCCUUUGUUCAACUUAAGCACUGGUUCUCCUCCAUUUAUCUUCGUACUGUGACAAAAGACGUUCAGUCGGAGGCAAUUAAAAUUAAUCAGACGUAUUGUUGAAAUUUGGCACGGAAUUAAGUUUAGAGCUAAAUUUGUG